AGUAAAGCUACUAAGGGCGUACGGAGGAUGCCUAGGUACAUGGAGGCGAUGAAAGACGUGGUAAGCUGCGAAAAGCCUCGGGGAGGUGCAAACAACUUUAGAUCCGGGGAUUUCUGAAUGGGGCAACCCGGUACCGGUCAUACGGUACCACUCCUGCCUGAAUAAAUAGGGCAGGUAGAGCAAACGGGGUGAACUGAUACAUCUAACUAACCCCAGGAAGAGAAAAUACAAAUGAUUUCCUCAGUAGCGGCGAGCGAACGGGAAAAAGUCUAAACCAUUAGCGUGUCAAAUCUGUAAGUUUUGCGUUAGUGGUGUAGUGGGGUCAUUCUGGAGCGGGUUACAGACCGCUCGACAAGUUAUAAAAUCCAAUGUUAAUCGAAUGACAUGGAAAGGUCAGCCAUAGCAGGUGAUAGCCCUGUAGGUGAAAAUUGAGGAUCUUGUUGAGAAUGAUUCCCGAGUAGCGCGGGACACGAGAAAUCCUGUGUGAAUCCGCCGGGACCAUCCGGUAAGACUAAAUACUCCCAUGUAACCGAUAGUGAACUAGUACCGUGAGGGAAAGGUGAAAAGUACUCCUAGCGGAGAGUGAAAUAGAACCUGAAACCGUAUGCCUACAAGCGGUCGGAGCCUACGGCUACAUCUUCGGAUGUGGUGUCGGGGUGACGGCGUGCCUUUUGCAUAAUGAGCCAGUGAGUUGCUCAUAUGUUGCUAGGUUAAAGUCAUAAGACUGGAGCCGUAGGGAAACCGAGUCUGAAUAGGGCGUUGAGUAGCAUGUGGCAGACCCGAAACCGAGUGAUCUAGCCAUGGCCAGGUUGAAAUUCCGGUAACACGGAAUGGAGGACCGAACCCACCAAUGUUGAAAAAUUGGGGGAUGAGCUGUGGCUAGGGGUGAAAGGCCAAUCAAACUCGGAGAUAUCUGGUUCUCGCCGAAAUGUCUUUAGGGGCAGCGUCAUGGUAAUGUACCGGGGGUAGAGCACUGGAUGGGCUAGGGAGCCUACAAGCUUACCGACCCCAACCAAACUCCGAAUACCGGAUACAUGUUCCAUGGCAGUGAGACUGCGGGGGAUAAGCUUCGUAGUCGAGAGGGAAACAGCCCAGACCAACAGCUAAGGUCCCAAAAUCUAUGCUAAGUGAUAAAGGAUGUCAAAUCGCCCAGACAGCUAGGAGGUUGGCUUAGAAGCAGCCAUCCUUUAAAGAAAGCGUAACAGCUCACUAGUCAAGGGGUUUUGCGCCGAUAAUUCCCGGGACUGUUAAGCAUAGUACCGAAGCUUUGGACUUCCGACAUUUGUCGGAAUUGGUAGGCGAGCGUUCCAUUAACCUGUGAAGGUUGAUCCGUGAGGACAGCUGGAGGAGAUGGAAAUGAGUAUGCUGGCAUGAGUAGCGAUAAACACGGUGAAAUUCCGUGUCGCCGAAAGCCCAAGGGUUCCUGAGUAAAGUAACUCUUCUCAGGGUUAGUCGGAUCCUAAGCCGAGGCCGAAAGGCGUAGGCGAUGGAAAACGGGUUUAAUAUUCCCGUACCAGUUUUUGAUUGUUUGAGCUAUGGGGUGACGCAGGAGUGAAAGGUCAGCCCGGUUUUGAUUGUCCGGGUUUAAGUGUGUAGGAGGUCCUGGUAGGUAAAUCCGCCGGGAUAUUAAACUCUGAGACACGAAUAGGAGUCCUUAGGACAUAAACUGACCAUAACCAUACUGCCAAGAAAAUCCUCUAUGUGAGAUCAUAAACUGACCGUACCCUAAACGGACACACGUGGGCAGGGAGAGAAUCCUAAGGCGCGUGAGAGAAUCCAGGUAAAGGAACUCGGCAAAUUAGCCCCGUAACUUCGGAAGAAGGGGUGCCCCCGGUAGGUUAAAUUCUUCGCGAAUGGAGCUGAAAGGGGUCGCAGUUACCAGGCCCAAUCGACUGUUUAUCAAAAACACAGGUCUCUGCUAAGUCGUAAGACGAAAUAUAGGGACUGACACCUGCCCGGUGCCGGAAGGUUAAAUGGAAGGGUUAGCUUCGGCGAAGCUCCGAUAUGAAGCCCCGGUAAACGGCGGCCGUAACUAUAACGGUCCUAAGGUAGCGAAAUUCCUUGUCGGGUAAGUUCCGACCUGCACGAAUGGUGUAACGAAUUGGGCACUGUCUCUACCUGGAGCUCAGUGAAAUUGAAGUGUCGGUGAAGAUGCCGGCUACCCGCAGCAGGACGAAAAGACCCCGUGCACCUUUACUAUAGCUUAGUAUUGGAUUCUGGUUCUGCAUGUGUAGGAUAGGUGGGAGGCUUUGAAACCUUAACGCUAGUUGGGGUGGAGCCAUCCUUGAAAUACCACCCUUGUUUUGCUAGAAUUCUAAUUUUGACCCUUGAAUCAGGGCAAAAGACAGUGCUAGGUGGGUAGUUUGACUGGGGCGGUCUCCUCCUAAAAGGUAACGGAGGAGCCCAAAGGUUCCCUCAGCACGGUCGGUAAUCGUGCGUAGAGCGCAAAGGCAUAAGGGAGCUUGACUGUGAGGUCGACGGACCGAACAGGUAGGAAACUAGGGCUUAGUGAUCUGGUGGUUCCGUAUGGAAGGGCCAUCACUCAACGGAUAAAAGGUACGCCGGGGAUAACAGGUUUAUCUCCCCCAAGAGUUCACAUCGACGGGGAGGUUUGACACCUCGAUGUCGGCUCAUCAUAUCCUGGGGCUGGAGAAGGUCCCAAGGGUUGGGCUGUUCGCCCAUUAAAAUGGUACGUGAGCUGGGUUCAGAACGUCGUGAGACAGUUCGGUCUCUAUCCGCUGUGGGCAUAGGAGAUUUGAGGGAAGCUGCUUCUAGUACGAGAGGACCGAAGUGGACGAACCUCUGGUGCACCAGUUGUCUCAUCAGAGGCAUCGCUGGGUAGCUAUGUUCGGUCAGGAUAAGCGCUGAAAGCAUAUAAGCGCGAAGCCUAUCCCAAGAUGAGAUCUCCCACCCUUUUAGGGUAUAAGGCUCGUUGAAGACUACAACGUUGAUAGGCCAUAGGUGUAAGUGUGGUAACACAUUCAGCCGAGUGGUACUAAUAAGCCGAACGGCUUUACUAA
rnacentral:rRNA from 1 species